UUUAUGUAAGUCAGGAACAUGAUUCUUCUGUUGGUAUACUUAUAGAAGCCUUAGUAUCCCAGCAAUGGGAGGUCACGCGACAAUAAAUAAAGUGGCUGUUUACUAGUUGACGUCAAGUCGGCAACACAACUGGACUGUUUGGGAAUACUUGUGCGCACUUCACUUGUGCGCUAUGAGCAACCCACAGCGAAUACCUCAGGGGCCCCUCAACUGCCCUAGGGGGAACGUUCACAGACUAAGUGGUUGUGGG
rnacentral:misc_RNA from 1 species